GUGAAUCAUUGAAUCUUUGAACGCAAAUGGCGCUCUUGGGUUCUCCCAGGAGCAUGUCUGUGUGAGUGUCU
rnacentral:rRNA from 1 species